GGCCGGUUGGCGAAAUGGUAUCGCGUCACUUUCCGGUACAACUGGAGCAUGGUGAAGAUUGCGGGUUCGAGUCCCGUGCUGGUCG
rnacentral:tRNA from 1 species